rnacentral:rRNA from 1 species
CGCGUAGGCGGUUUGCUAAGUUGGAUGUGAAAACUCUGGGCUUAACCCAGAGCCUGCAUCCAAAACUGGCAAACUUGAGUACUGGAGGGGAAAGCGGAAUUCCUGGUGUAGCGGUGAAAUGCGUAGAUAUCAGGAGGAACACCGGUGGCGAAGGCGGCUUUCUGGACAGUAACUGACGCUGAGGCGCGAAAGCUAGGGGAGCAAAACA